CACGGUGGAAAAAGAGAGCGAGCGAGAGCGGGGGGGGGGGGGGGGAGGAGAGAGAGAGAGAGAGAGAGAGAGAAAGAGAGAGACCGUGGGCUUCCUGUCACCUUCUCUAACGGAGGAAGAGAAAAUUUUGCAUUGCAGCUAUUUUUUAAUAUAAUGAAUUUUCUAGACAAAGUGGUCCACGUUGAGUGAUUAAGCACCAGAGUUCUUGCCUUGUCUUAUGACAACCUGACUGUUUGUAUGUAUGUAUUCUUUAUCAAAUUGGAAUAAAAAACAAGGAAUUGUGUUUACC
rnacentral:lncRNA from 1 species